rnacentral:rRNA from 1 species
GAUGAACGCUGGCGGCGUGCUUAACACAUGCAAGUCGAACGGAAAGGCCCCAGCUUGCUGGGGUACUCGAGUGGCGAACGGGUGAGUAACACGUGGGUGAUCUGCCCUGCACUUUGGGAUAAGCUUGGGAAACUGGGUCUAAUACCGAAUAUGACCACUUCCUGGCUGUUGUGGUGGAAAGCUUUUGCGGUGUGGGAUGAGCCUGCGGCCUAUCAGCUUGUUGGUGGGGUAAUGGCCUACCAAGGCGGCGACGGGUAUCCGGCCUGAGAGGGUGUACGGACACAUUGGGACUGAGAUACGGCCCAGACUUCUACGGGAGGCAGCAGUGGGGAAUAUUGCACAAUGGGCGCAAGCCUGAUGCAGCGACGCCGCGUGGGGGAUGAAGGCCUUCGGGUUGUAAACUCCUUUCGCUAUCGACGAAGCCACUUGUGGUGACGGUAGGUAGAUAAGAAGCACCGGCUAACUACGUGCCAGCCGCCGCAGUAA